CUUCCAACUGCAUUGAGAUACUGGACGACUAGACUGUGGUAGAGGAUAGCGGAAUUCCUGGUGUACAGUGAAAUGCGUAAAGAUCAGGAGGAACAUCCAUGGCAAAGGCAACUACCUGGACCAACAUUGACACUGAGGCACGAAAGCGUGGGGUCAAACAGGAUUAUAUACCCUGGUAAUCCACACCCUAAACAAUGCGAACUGUAUGUUGGGUGCAAUUUGCCACGCAGUAUCGAAGCUAACGCUUUAAGUUCGCCGCCUGGGGAGUACGGUCGCAAGAUGAAACUAAAAGGAAAU
rnacentral:rRNA from 1 species